rnacentral:rRNA from 1 species
ACCUACGGGAGGCAGCAGUGGGGGAUAUUGCACAAUGGGCGCAAGCCUGAUGCAGCGACGCCGCGUGAGCGAAGAAGUAUUUCGGUAUGUAAAGCUCUAUCAGCAGGGAAGAAAAUGACGGUACCUGACUAAGAAGCUCCGGCUAAAUACGUGCCAGCAGCCGCGGUAAUACGUAGGGGGCAAGCGUUAUCCGGAUUUACUGGGUGUAAAGGGAGCGUAGACGGCGAUGCAAGCCAGAUGUGCAAGCCCGGGGCUCAACCCCGGGACUGCAUUUGGAACU